CCUGGAUGCUGUAGAAGUAUGCAAUAAAUGGCACAGCUGGUCCUUGGGGAGGCGAGACUGCAGCCAAGAUGUAGGAAUUCAGACUCCUUGUGCAGCUCUGACACAUCUCUUGUGUACUUUUCCUCUCACAAACGAGAUAAAUUUGUCUCUGGGGACUUAAUGUCGUGUGCUUGAUUUAAAAGUGCUUUAGGGCCAUGAAGCACAAAGUGAUUAAAGAAGUGCUGUUCUAUUAAGCCAGAAGUUCUUAUACCGAGUUCAGAAGUGUUACUAAUAAGAUAUCAUUUCCUGUCCUUCCAAUUAACAUUCCUUUCUAUUGAACUGCUGUUUUAUUACCUGAUAGCAUAAGGAAAUACCUUGCAUUUCAUCAGGGAGAGACUUGUUGCAGGCUCUGUGGUGCUGUGUUUAAGGUGUAUAAGAGUGUAUUUAUUGUCCCCACAUCUGAACAUGGUUCUUGUCCUGUGUGGAGCAGUGACUUCUCCAGAGCUCUCCCGUGAGCUCUGGCAAUGCCUGGGUACCGAGAAUGGCUUUUUUGGAAUCACAAAGGGAACGGCAGCGCUCAGAACUGAGCAGCAGAGGAGAGCAGCUGAUGUGGAAGGAUCCAGGGAAGGUAAGCUUCAGGUGGUUGAUGACUGGAUCUCUCUAGUGCAGAAAGGAACGCAGGAAGGAGGAAGGGGUGAGGAGCUGAUGUGAGCUGGUCACGUCCCUACCCUCGCAUCCUUUCCAUACCCACACUGGCACACGAAUUCCGAGCGCCUUCGAGCUGCGUUUUCCUCCGCAGCCCUUUCAUUUCCCCCUGAUAAACCAGAGCCGGGCCCGCCCCGCUCCAGCCCCGCUCCGCCGGGUACCGCGCUCGGUGCGCUGAGCUCGGCCGGGCCGGGAGCGCUCGGGAUGCACCGGGAGAGCUCGAGAUGCACCGGGAGAGCUCGGGAUACACCAGGAGCUCACCGGGAUACACCGGGAGAGCUCGGGAUGCACCGGGAGAGCACCGGGAUACACCGGGAGAGCUCGGGAGAGCACCGGGAGAGCACCGGGAGCGCUCGGGAUGCACCGGGAUACACCGGGAGCGCACCGGGAUACACCGGGAGAGCUCGGGAUGAACCGGGAGAGCUCGGGAUACACCAGGAGCUCACCGGGAUGCACCGGGAGCGCUCGGGAUGCACCGGGAGCGCUCGGGAUGCACCGGGAGCGCUCGGGAUGAACCGGGAGCGCCCGGGAUGCACCGGGAGAGCACCGGGAGCCCUCGGGAUACACCAGGAGCUCACCGGGAUACACCCGGAGCGCUCGGGAUGCUGUGCCCGGAGCGGCCCCGGGAUGAGCAGAGCCGGGGCUGCGCCACUCCCCUGGCUGGGGGACAGUGCCGGGAGUGAAGCCGGCUGGUGUGUGAGGAUGAGGAUGAGCCGUGUGUAGCCAGCUCCCCCCCGGCUGCCGAGCUCCGCCCGUGAGGAACAGGGCACACCCGGGAUGUGUCUUUCCGUGAAGGCAAAGACAGAGGUUUUGAAGUUGCCCUUUGUGGGCUGAGACACUUCCCCACCGCCAAAAAAACCAGGAAGGCUCCAAACCCCAAAGUGGGGAGCACUUGGGAUUGUUCCCUUUGUAACCUGCAGGAAGCUGAUAUCCCACCGAGCCUGGCGGUGAUGUAAAGUUUGUAAUGUUGUCUUGGGGCAGUUUGUUUAAAUUUUUCUCUUGUCACGACAAAAGGUGCACCUAAACCAACCUUUUAAAUCGCUUCCCCUCACCCCUUCCUUCAUUUUAACAGUAAAAUGUCGAUGUGAUUUAUUUCUGUCUCCAAGAAAAAAGGGAAACUUGUUCAGGUUCAUUAUUCAGAGAUUUUUUUUCCCAUGCCUCUUCCUUGACAUUAUCUUUUCAUACGUGGUUGUCAAUGAUUUGCAAUAAGUCAGAUCACUUACACAUAUCCACAUUUUGGGAUCUUUGUUUUGGUUUUGUGUUUGACAUUUUCCAGGUGAUGACACGAUGCUUGGUCCAGGAUACCCACAUCAUUUUCAUGUGGUUUAACCACUAACAGUGUUUGUCUUACUUCUGUCAUCUACACAUCUGCAGUGGGCAGGACACAAAUCUCAUUAAUGCUGUUUAUAUUUAGAAAAAACGAAUAAAGCUUCACUCCUGAUGAGCUUGGGAGGGUCC
ensembl:lncRNA